GCGUAAAUUAUUUUGCUCUUUCAAGAAGACAAAAAGUUCCAAGAAAAAGUGAUAAACAAAAAAUGCCAACUCUAAAUCUGUUCACAAAUGUGCCAGUAGAUGCAAUAAUAGCUUCUGAUAUUCUUAAAGAUGCUACUAAAGCUGUUGCUAAAAUUAUUGGCAAACCCGAGUCCGUUAAGUUUUUUGUCCAUUUUGGUUUUAUGUCUUUAUAUUGCACAUGGACUGAUACAUGUUUGAUGAAAUUCCCCUGAGAAAAGUUUAUCAACUUCUUUUACUCAAGAGACUGGGAAUUUUCAUGUGGGGUUUUGUUUUUUUUUUCCCCCCCUUUUUUUUUGGUCAGUAUAACCAUAUGCUAUUAGGAAUUCACUGCCCCGACUAAUCCAUAACAUUGAAAUUACACCCUAUGACCUUGAAAAUAGAUGGUUUUAAACUUUUGACCCCCAAUUGUCCAGUGGGCAAACCUUAAAGGUUAAAAGGCAAAAUUUAUUGCCCUUAAAGUUCUGCUUAUGGGGCAAGCGGGAUUAAAAGUUUCAAGACCAUCCACCUGCAAGGCCAUUCUUGUAAAUUCGGGGGAUAUUGCUGAUUCUGUGAUCUAUUCCAGAUGUGCAAAGGAACUAUGGACAAGCCUUGAGCACAGGUUUGGUCAAUCUAAUGGAGCAAAGCUCUAUCACUUGCAAAAACAACUUUCUACUUUAGUGCAGGUUGUGUGUGCAUCUGUGAAGGGAAAGACAAACUACAGAAAUCUUUGGAGGAUGAGAGACUCAUUCAGUUUCUCAUGGGUUUAAAUGACAUCUACUCACAAGCUAGGGAUUCCUCUUCCUUUAUGGUUAGAAACCAACCACACAUCAGGAAAACAAAUACAAAGGAAUGCAGGACCUGUUUUUCAUCAGAAUCAGAAACCAGCAGGUCAAAAUACUGGUUAUCAAAGAACAGGAAACAACAAUCAGAAAUUUCACCCAAACAAAGGAAGAAAAUCUAAGUAUAAUCCUAAUGCUACUUGUACUUAUUGCAAAAAGACAGGUCACUUUGUGGAUGACUGUUACAGGUUAAUUGGAUUUCCUGAUGAUUUCCAAUUCACAAAUUCAAAGAAUAUUGAGGCACCAAUCAGAUGCAAUGGUAUGAUGACAGGAGAAGAUUCAGAAGAAGCAAGCAACACAAACAUGGACAUCAAUUUCAUCAGUCAACACCUCAACAGGAAACAAAUUUC